rnacentral:rRNA from 1 species
UACGUAGGCAGCGAGCGUUGUUCGGAGUUACUGGGCGUAAAGGGCGCGUAGGCGCCCUCCAAGUCAGAUGUGAAAGCCCCGGGCUUAACCUGGGAAUAGCAUUUGAGACUGAAGGGCUUGAGUUUCGGAGAGGUGGGUGGAAUUCCCAGUGUAGAGGUGAAAUUCGUAGAUAUUGGGAAGAACACCGGUGGCGAAGGCGGCCCACUGGACGAACACUGACGCUGAGGCGCGAAAGCGUGGGAGCAAACAGG